GCUUAGAUGAGUAAAAGUCGUAAUCAUGUUUCAGUAGGUGUACCUGCGGUAGGAUCAUUA
rnacentral:rRNA from 1 species